rnacentral:rRNA from 1 species
ACGGGUGAGUAAUGCCUAGGAAUCUGCCUGGUAGUGGGGGACAACGUUUCGAAAGGAACGCUAAUACCGCAUACGUCCUACGGGAGAAAGCAGGGGACCUUCGGGCCUUGCGCUAUCAGAUGAGCCUAGGUCGGAUUAGCUAGUUGGUGAGGUAAUGGCUCACCAAGGCGACGAUCCGUAACUGGUCUGAGAGGAUGAUCAGUCACACUGGAACUGAGACACGGUCCAGACUCCUACGGGAGGCAGCAGUGGGGAAUAUUGGACAAUGGGCGAAAGCCUGAUCCAGCCAUGCCGCGUGUGUGAAGAAGGUCUUCGGAUUGUAAAGCACUUUAAGUUGGGAGGAAGGGUUGUAGAUUAAUACUCUGCAAUUUUGACGUUACCGACAGAAUAAGCACCGGCUAACUCUGUGCCAGCAGCCGCGGUAAUACAGAGGGUGCAAGCGUUAAUCGGAAUUACUGGGCGUAAAGCGCGCGUAGGUGGUUCGUUAAGUUGGAUGUGAAAUCCCCGGGCUCAACCUGGGAACUGCAUCCAAAACUGGCGAGCUAGAGUAUGGUAGAGGGUGGUGGAAUUUCCUGUGUAGCGGUGAA